rnacentral:tRNA from 1 species
GCGGGUGUGGUGGAACUGGUAGACACAACGGAUUUAGGUUCCGUCGCCGCAAGGCAUGGGGGUUCGAGUCCCUCCACCCGCA